UACGUAGGUGGCAAGCGUUGUCCGGAUUUACUGGGUGUAAAGGGCGUGUAGCCGGGCUUACAAGUCAGAUGUGAAAUCCGGGGGCUCAACCCCCGAACUGCAUUUGAAACUGUAGGUCUUGAGUAUCGGAGAGGCAGGCGGAAUUCCUAGUGUAGCGGUGAAAUGCGUAGAUAUUAGGAGGAACACCAGUGGCGAAGGCGGUCUGCUGGACAGCAACUGACGCUGAGGCGCGAAAGCGUGGGGAGCAAACAGG
rnacentral:rRNA from 1 species